AUCCAGUUGAAGACUCAAAUAGGACGAAACGCGCGUACUGGAU
rnacentral:hammerhead_ribozyme from 1 species